GACGAACGCUGGCGGCGUGCUUAACACAUGCAAGUCGAACGGAAAGGCCCUGCUUUUGUGGGGUGCUCGAGUGGCGAACGGGUGAGUAACACGUGAGUAACCUGCCCUUGACUUUGGGAUAACUUCAGGAAACUGGGGCUAAUACCGGAUAGGAGCUCCUGCUGCAUGGUGGUGGUUGGAAAGUUUCGGCGGUUGGGGAUGGACUCGCGGCUUAUCAGCUUGUUGGUGGGGUAGUGGCUUACCAAGGCUUUGACGGGUAGCCGGCCUGAGAGGGUGACAGGCCACAUUGGGACUGGGAUGCGGCCCGGACUCCUACGGGAGGCAGCAGUGGGGAAUAUUGCACAAUGGGCGGAAGCCUGGUGCAGCAACGCCGCGUGGGGGAAGACGGCCUUCGGGUUGUAAACCGCUUUCGCCUGUGACGAAGCGUGAGUGACGGUAAUGGGUAAAGAAGCACCGGCUAACUACGUG
rnacentral:rRNA from 1 species